AUGUAUGUGUGUGUGUAUAUAUAUAUAUAUAUGGUGCUUUCAAAGAGUAACAAAUCUGUACAAGAAACCAUUAUCUGGAACGUAGUUAGGAACGUUGGGGAAAUAAUAUUCAGGGCAUUUAUUUAAAAAAUUGUACUUGGGCUGAGAGCAUAUGCUAUUCAUGUGCAUCUUCUAAAAAUAUUUUCACAUGCAAAUUACACACCCGCUGGCUGCUCAGUUCUAACCAUGUUGUUACUGCGUGAUGGUCUCUGAGAAACUGAGAAUGGAGUGGGAGGUACCAGCUGAAAACUUUUGCUCUGAAGGUUUUGUUUCUUGGAUUUUACUUUUGCUUGACUUUCUUUCUUUUUCCAAAACCUAACAUGAGAACAUUUCCAAAAUGACACUUCGCAAGUUUAAAUUUUAAUGUAAGAAUAAUAAAGUAACUAAUUAUAUAUGUACCUCUUUUUCUCUGUGUAAUGCUUAAAUAUAUUAAUUAUGUUCUCUUUUUCAAGUACAGACCACAAGAAAGCCAUUGUCUCGCUUAGAUUAUCUUUUUUUGUAUAUGAAAUCAAGGUGACUGUGAUUGUAAACUUUCUUGCAUUCCUCAACUAUUUUUAAGCCCACAAAUAAGUAACAUUACUGAUUGGGAUAGAUACACAUAGUAUCCUUUUGCUAUUGCAUUGCAGUACUUUAACCAAAGGGAGGGAGUUCUUUUUUAAGAGAGAGAUCCUAAAAUAAGAGGCCAGAUUUUUUUUGUCAGCUGCUGCUUGUUUAAACCCUUUAUUUUUUCUGGAGUAAAAACUUCUUACAUUUUUAUGACUCAUUUUCAAAAGUAUAGGAAAAAAAAAAAAGUGCUGCAUUUUUUCCCUACUAUGGUGCCUGUAGCCUUGACAGAGCAGUAGAAAUCUAUAUAUUGCUCUGAGGUAAAGGUAGAUUUCUUUUUUCUUCUUGGGUCUUAUAAGAGUGCCUCUUAUUUUGUCAUCCUUUACAGGAGUGCUUUUUUUGCUGUGUAGAAAGAGAGAAGCUGAACACUUGAUACCUGAUGCAGUGCUCUCAGAAAUCACUGCAAAGAUUCCCAUUUGGGAAUUGCAGCUGGCCUUCAAAAUAAUUUCUUAAUUUUCAUACUAUUCUUAUUUUACCUCCAUUUCCUACAGCCUGUAGGCUUCUGACCCCAUUCUAGUAGGGAACAAUAGCCAAGAGUUACCUUAGUAUCUGUUGUGUUUUGAGAAAUCUUUCUAGUGGGAAAAUACCAGUGAUGAAAUGUUGUUUCUGAAACCCAGGGAAAGCUGACUGCUGUCUGAUAUUAUCAUAGUGGUUAUGUAGUGCAUUUGUGUCCUUAGGAAUCUUCCAGUAGUUAGGAUAUGUUUCUGUUGUGGUGUUGUAUUGUUAGUCUUGUGAAAAUGAGCAAAAAUAGAAAAUGCAGCUUAACGUUGAUGGAAGGAUUUGGAUAGGACUCAGCAUGAGGUAAUAUAACAACAGUCAAAUAAAAUUCAUGUCUCUCUAGUGACAAAGAUACUGGCUAGCUUGAUGUUAAGGACUUGAAAAACUGAUGGGAAAGUUUGGAGUUGCAUUGGUUAAAAGACUUACGAAGUAAGAAGGAUUACAGCAAGCGAAGUGUUUUAAAAUUAAAUGAACAAAUAGUUAACACUUGCCCAGAUGUGAUACGCUGGUUUCUGGUUUCAUACAUUAAUUACUCUUUUAAGGCAGGUUAUAUUUGACUCUCCUUUUUUGUUUGGCCUUUAUACUGUUUUUCUACUCUUCUGUAUGAAAAUCUGGAAUUUCUAAGGUGGUUUUAGGUUUAACUGAUUGACUUCUAGCAGAAUUCCAAGAUGUCUUUUCAGUAGGGUUUCAUUCAUUUUGAGAAUAGUGAUUUUCAGCAGUAGUUGCUAAAGACAGUGUUGUACAGGAAUUUAGGAAAACUGUGAUGGUGUAAAAGGUGCUAUCACUCUUUUGUGUGUGUUUAUAAAAGGGAAAUUAAUACUAAAUUAUAUUUAUGCCAGUAAACAAUAAUUGAUAAAAUGACACUUCCAGAAAGAAUCUUAGUUGUUUUAUUCUGUUUUCAAAGUAAGUUUAUAGGCUGUUUUGCUUUCUUGAACAAAGAAGGGGUAAUCAAACAUAUUAGUUAAAGUUGAACCCUUGUGAAUCUUGAGAAAAAAAAAAAAUCUAAGUAUCUUGGCUGCAGAACCCAGUUCCUGUGUUAGCAGAGCAAAGAAUAUUAAGUAACACACUCGCUGUCCAAGAAAUUGGCCAGUUCUUUUUACACUCCAUAAUGUGUAAAAAGAUAUUGAAGAUAUCUUGAAGAUAUUUUUGAAGAUAUUUUUCAUGUAUUCCGAUACUUUUGAAGGAAGAAGUCUUUUCAGGUAGAAGAUAUUUUUGAAGAUAUUUUUCAUGUAUUCCGGUACUUUCAGAAGGAAGAAGUCUUUUCAGGUAGACUAAUCCUAAGUUUGUAAGAUGUCAAUUGAUACCGACAAAGGAAAAAAGAACAAUGAUUCAUUUUUAAAAGUGAAAUUUGGAAGUGACAGAUUAUUCAUUCUUACUUACUAUUUAAACUUAUACUGAUGUAGCAUUACCUGUCCAUUAGAGACUUUCCCUUUACCUGUCCAUUAGAGACUUCAGGUACCCUCUGGUACUUGAAGCACUUGAGCUACAUUUUAUCACCAUUAUCUUGUGGUUCUUUUCUUAUUAAUCUUGGAGGUUUUUGCAAUCUCCUUUGGUUAAACAUCCAGUGUAAGGAUGCUGAUAUUGUUACAGCCACUUUACACUGGUGUGUGAACAGAGGCUCCAGCUUCUGGCGUGUCUUUCAAGUAAGUGCUGUGCUGUGUAAAUGCAAAGAAAGACUGAUGCUGAAUUCUGAAGAGUUUCAAAAUGCUUGUCCUGUCUCCUCUUUCUGGCCAGCAUAUUGCAUACUUCCCUGAUUUUUCACCGAGUUGCUUGAGUCUAAAGAGUUUGUUAAAGUUGGUAGGACUAAUUCUGUGUGAGCUUAAAGCCCUUGCAAAAUCUUUCUUGUUUCUGAGUUAUCCUGUGGUGGUUUUGUUUGGUUUUUUAAAUGCCUAAAAAUUUUUUUGAAUGUGAAGUCAUUCCUUAGGUAGGGCUAAUGAAAGAAAAUAAUUUGUCUUUAUUAAGGUAUAGGACCCAGAUAUUUUUAUGUGACAGCUUUUAUUUGCUUCUGGUGCUGAAUCACCACAUGAUUUUAUUAUGCUAGUUGCUGUAAGAAUGCAUGUAGUUCUUCACCCUCAAAUAGGAGACAUUUUGGGCCUGGAGACUACUACCCUUUUCUAAUUUUUUUUUUCUUUAAUCUCCAAACUGUUUUUAGAGCAUUUUUUCUGUAAUUCUUGGACCGUGGGUUGACAGGGGGUAUAGAGUGUGGAUGAGUGGGAUCAUGGUGAUAAGAAAAAUUAUUACCUUUUUUCUCUCUAGCCUAAAAUUUCAAAAGUUCAACUUCUAGCUGAAAUAAAAUAUUGCUGAGUUCUGGUUUGCUGAUGUAAAUUUAGCACCUCUCUCCUUCUCAAAUGUUGCAACCCAUUGACCUGUUAAGUGUAUCUAAUUGCAUGUCUUCCCUGUCAAUCUCUCAGCCUCUCUUUGUGCUUUAAAAUUAGAGAUAUGUUCCAAAGCUAUGGUAGUGUUCAGUACUUGUUCUGUGUAAAGCAUCAUUUCUACCUUUGCCUUUAGAACAGAAGGAAUGGCUGUAAUUGUCCUUUUCAGCCUGAUAGUGCUUUUUCCAAAUAUCAGAAAUGUUAUUAACUAGGCAGACUGGUAAUUUUUAUAUAACCUGUGGUGUGCUAAUGCAGAAGUUUUGAGGUGUGCUGAUGUCAUUCUCUGUACACAAUACAGUAUAAUUGACACAACUCUUUGUUUCUCUUUUUUUUUUUUUUUUUUGGUUGCUUUUUUCCUAGUUAAAAGCUUUCAGUAAAGUAAUUUUGCACCUUGGCUAAAACUCAAAACCAAUCAUCUGUUUUUUACAUGGCAGCAGCACCUAGCAAUGUGUGGGCAUACCUGUGUUGGCAACAUACCACGGAGCAUCUCCUUGCAAUUUAUUCUCUCUCCUCUCAGACAGGAUGCAAGGACAGGGGACGUGUUGCUUGGUAGUCAGGUAUUGACCUUCCUUUCUCAACUAGUGUGCCAAACACCACACUUCUAGACAGGGCUGCAAACAUGGAAAUGCAGUUAGUUUUAUUGCAAACAACUAUUUUAAAGUAAAUUUUUUCUUUCUACAACACAAAAGCACUAGAGUUCAUUGUUAAAAGGGAACUUAAAUAUUUAGUAGAAUCAAUUACUCACCUUUAUUAAUCAUAAAAGAUAUUAAAGUUUCUUAACACAAGUAUAAAAUAAAGAUAUAUAUAAGUAGGAAUUUGCUGGUGAAGAUGCUCUGUCAGUUUGAGAAUCUGACUGACCUCUUGUUUUUGGCUUUAGAAUUGCUGGCUUGAUUGUUGUCUCUUGCUGCUUCCUACCUGCAUCUUUGAACCAUGUCCCUUUCUUUCAUGACUUAAUAGUUGAUGUGGGUGCACCAUCCUGUGACCUAACUUCUGCCACUUAAACACUGGUGGAAAAUUUAACUGUUUUCGUGGAUGUUGUUGGAGUAUCCUGUAGUUUAGGUGAGGACGAAUAGGGACAGGCCCUCUGUGCGACCUAGCAAACAGCAGUGGGUACUAAUGAAUGCUUGGGGAAGGCGUGAAAAUAAUGUCUGGAACUGUAGAAUUUAGAAGGUUUUCAGUGUAUAUAAAAAUAUCCUAGAACCCAGUGUUUUAAAACACCUUUUGGAUGGUCCUGAGGCCAAGGUUAGCAAAGCUGCUAAAGUAAAUUUCUUUUUUUCUACAUAUUCUGCUAUUUAUUUCUUGUUGCUGUUGGUACUACUUAAAUAGUGCCUAUAUUGUUUAUAGUAGUGCCCACAGUAUUAAUAUUUGAAGUUACUUACAAUAGCAGGUAUUAAAUGUUCAAAUGAAAUCAUUAUUUAGAAGAUGAAGUUUUUUUUAUUUAGUUUGUUUGGCAGAGGUCAUGUAUUGUCAUGCAGCAUAGAUAAACUGUCACUAUUUCAUACUUCAGAACAGAGGAUUUUACUGAACUAAUAUAAGGCAAAUUUAUUUUGUAAUGCAGCUUGGGUAACCAUGUUUUUAUAAAACAUUUCAACUUCUUUUGUUAUUACUUGUGGAUUGUUUUAGUGAGGGCUUCUUAAAUUAUUUUUUUUUUGUAAUUAGCAACGCUGCGCCAUAUUUCAUGCAUGAAAUAAAGAUGUAAACUUAUGCACAAAUCCAAAAUGGAGGUCCUUAUCAGAGCAAAACUGGGGGAACAAAACAAAAUGGCAGGACUAUAGCAGAAGUUCCCAAACUUACUCAGCUGAAGUUUGGUCACUGACCUUGAUAUCUAAAGGACUGUUGGUGCCAGUGGUGUUAAUUUCUCUUUACAGGGAUUUUUUAGGUUUAUAGGUUUCUCUCAGGGCAGGACCUCUAUCCCACAGUCAUCAACCUGUGGACCUCCUGAAGCCAGGACCCGACCCUGUGCUUAGGAGUUCAUCACCCCCUACUUCAUUCCAUCCUUUUGUCAUCCAUCAAAAUCUACCUCUGUACAGCAGGUCCCCUUGGAAAGCUGCUCUCAUAGCAGUACCUGAUUGGAAGACAUUUGAAGUGAAAUGCAAGCGUGGUACUGGUUCUAAGUACAGUUGGAAGUGCUAUAAUGUUCCAUGCUUAGGAAUAGUGUGUGGCAAGUGACUGGUCCCACAAACCCUUCUGCAGAUAAGUAAUCCUAUCAAAGGCAGUUGAGUGCAUUUGAUUAAGGAUUACAUGCGGUAAGUGGGCUGCAAGGUUGAGAGUACAACUUGUAUCAUUAAUGAGUAUUCACAUGUUAAUGCUGCUUUGAUAGAGAUUGAACUAGAUGACCUUUUAGGCCUGUUCCUACUAGAAUGAUUUUUUGAUUAUCACACUUGUAUUAUGCAAAUAGAUAACUUCAUUUAUUAAAAAAAUCAUUAGUUGGAUAAGCUAAACUCUCAUAAGUCACUGCCAUUAUUUUACCUAAUUGCAUUAUGUAGUAGCAUGGAGCUGCAAAUUUGACCCAAGUUUAAGAUUUAAAACAAUAAGAGGAAUACACCCAUGCCUUUUUUGUGUAUUGUUUCAAAUUCUUUGUAUACAGUUUUAUGUCAGAUUGAAUUCCUUUUGUAGGAAUUCUUUCCUAGCAUACAGUUGACUUAUUCUAGAAUUAGUCCAGAGCAGAGUGCCUGAAAAUUUGAUGCUUUAUGUGCAAUUGAGGUGUGUGAAUGGAUUUAAACUUACUCUGCCUAAUUCAGGUACCACUAGUACUGAGACUAUGGUAACAGAGGCAUCAGUGCAGGUUAGCAGCCUAAGAAAGGCUUAAAGCCCUAAAAACUUUCCAAGCAAGGACUCAAUGUGAGAGGGCAUUCUUACGUUUAAAAAAAAUCCCAAACCCACUACCACCUCAACAAGCCCCCCCACUGUUAGAAUAUACUAUGUAGAAUCUGAAUAUGUGUAGAUGUUGAGACAGAGCUGGUUGAGUUUAAUAAACAAUAAUCCUUCUCAUGUGCAGGGAAUCAUAUGGAUUUUCUUCCUGUGUCUGGAUAAACUUUGUACCCAUUGAUACUUCUAUAACUGUUCUCAUUUAGUAUUGUUAAUUACUUACUUUUAAGCAAGAAGUUGGUGACAGGAGAGGAAAUCUCUUAACUGCUGCCUGUUAAAAGGCCGAUCACUUUCACUUGCAUGCAAUCAGAAAUGUUUUUAUGUAACAUUUUAAGCCUCCCAAUAGUUGCAUUAAUCUCAGUAACAGGCUAUAGUUGCUGUCAUGUCUUAUUUCAGGAAAACACUUGGUUGUAUGCUUUUAUUUAAAAAUACAAGGAGUAUGGUAACAUCGCAAGUAAUGUGUUACGGACUUGGCAGGUCUCUUGGGCUUUUAGGGAGUAUAGAAAGCAAUUAAAAGGAAUAAGAGGUGCUAGGAAGGAGUGGAGUUAUUUCUUUAUGCUGCUCUGCACCACAACGAUGUUGUGGGCAUUUUAUUCUUUUCAAAUAAUGUUGAUUGGAUGUUACCUGAUUAUGGGAUUAGAUUGGUGAAAGACUGAAUGCUAGAAUGAAGUGCUAAAGACUCCUGAGUCACCAGGACUCCAUGCUAUUCAUUCCUUUAGUGGUUCUAAAGGAUGAAGUGGCUGAUCUGCUAAGAAGAAUGCAUCUCGUUAGGAUGAGAUGCUGUGCCGGGAGACCGGAAGCUAUCAAGUGCUGUACAUACUGUACUUCUAAACGGAACACAAAGAGCAGAGCUGGAAUUUGCAGACCAAGGACUCUUAUUUUAAUGCCACUUAAGUAGCUUUGAAUUCUGCAUGGGUAGUCUAGCAGUUCUGUGAGCACAAGAUACAACAGCUUUCUAUGCAGUGGUAUCUUAGAGGUAAUGAAAAAUACCAGCUGCAGCUGGGGUACUUGUCAUGUGUCUCUUGCUUGUGUGCUUGUUCCCUAAUAACAAGGGCAUAGACUGCAGUCUGUCCUUCACUUUGGCCUGUUUGUGGGUUGGUCUUCUAUAUCUAUCUGCCCAGUACUUGGAUUUCUGAAAUCUCUGAAUUCUUAUUAAACCAUGAAUGACUUUUCAGUUUUCCUUUUUGAUAAAGUCUGAAAUGAGGGAGUGGAUUUGAAAGUUAGAAAAAGCAAGGCCCAACCUAAGCAGAGAUGUUUAACUGCAUUAAUCUCUUCUGUGUUUAGCAGUCUAAACACUGACUAAGUUGCUUCUGUUAUUAGUAGACAAGAGAAGGAUGAACCUAUAUACUGAUAAACUCACGCACCCUGUUUAGUUCAUCCCACCUUAAACUUGCAGCAUAUGGCCUUUGGCAGGAAAUUGUACCCCACAGAAUUUUGGUGAGGCUCUACAAGUUGUCAUUUUUGAUGCCAUUGUGGGUAUGAUGACCCGUGAUGCAGAGGAAAUGAAAGUUAAAGCAGUCCAGUAGUAUGCUGUGCUGCUUUCAGUGGCAAAGCUGUGAUGUACCUUGUAGUUCACACUCAGGUGACAACAGCAGUUUCUUAAGUACUGACAUUUAUAGCCUCAAUUAGCUGUGUAGUCUUGUUCCCUCACUUUCCCUCCUGUUUUAUUAGCACAGUGAUUUGUACCAUCAUGCAGUGACUUGAAUCAGAAAAUUGAUCCUGACUUUGAGAGGGGUGUGUGGCAAGCAGCAAUUUCUAACCCAAGCUAGUUCCUCACUCUGGUCUAGUGGGUGGCUUCACCAGGAGAUGGAAUCAUGGCCUAAGGAUCAGAACAAGCAGCAGGAGGGUCCUCUGUCUUUGAACUGGCAUUUUACCAGAAUAGAUGCUCAUCAGAUUAUGCCUCUGGAAUCUGUGACUCAUCUUGCCCUCAAUUCAAUUACUUCAGAUGAUCUGUAAAUUUUCAAUAAUGGCAAUACAUUCAUUCUGCCAUUUGGAGGAGCCUGUGCCACAGAAUAAUGAUCUGAAGAAAGCUCACUCAUUUGCAAGAGUCUUCAUUUGGGAAUUAGCACUGAUGCAGCUCAAGGGUGCUUUUUCAAGUCCAGGCACUUGAAUUUCUUGUAUUCUCAUUGCAAACUGUGGGGAUUCUUUAACUGGCGAUCAGUUUGGUGUUCCAACCAGCAGACAAAUAAAUGAUAAUUUGGGAAAAAAACCCAACAGCCAAAUGCUUCUUAUCAGACUCUUUCAGCUGAAGUGUUAUUUUCCCAACACAACCUCUGGUACAAGGAUAAAAUUGGGUUUUUUGGUCAAAGAACAAAGUCCUGUAUCUGAAGAGUAAGAAGGUCCUUGACAUUCAGUGGGAUGAGAAUCUCAGAAAUGACUACUGGGGACUCCCAAGCUACAGAUCAGAAACCAUUUUGGUAGGAGUGGGUUGCUUGUCAGAAAUCCGUUCCGAAGCUCGAGUGCAAAGGAAGCAGGGUACUAAUGAUGAAUAAGAAUGGAUAUCUUGAGGAUAACAAUGGAUAUGGCAUCUUCAAAAGCAGUGGCAUUCUGGUCCUAGUCCUGUAACUGGAUUUGUUCAAAUGGACCUCAAUAGCCUGGGGGCCUGAUGAAGUUCAUGGGACUCUGGUGGCUGCAGGUUCCCGCUCUGAAGAUCUGAUUGUAGGCCUGAACCUAAAUUUCUAUUUUGUUUUCCUGUGUGUUUGCUUCUUAAAUGAUGAAAGUUAUCCUUUAAAAUGGUGUUGUCUUUGAUUCUCAUGCACAUCCACUCUAGUAGUGUUCAGACACUGUGUGCCUGGGAUGUUGUCAGACAUUGUUAAAAUAUUUCUGUUCUGUUGUGUGCCUAAACCUCAUGAUUGCACUGAUUAUUGUGUUAGAUUUUUCUAUUUAGUGCCUUUCUACCUAAAAUGGAGAAGAUCAUCACCUGUGUUUUCAAUCAUUGUGGUAUUUCUCUUAACUCAGAUUUUUAAGUCAGAGUAACUGUUGAAACUGUUAUGUUUAAAGAUGUAGGUAGAUUUGUUUCUUUCUGGCUGGACACAAAGUAUAAUAUUUUAUUUUGCAAACUUGGUAGCCUAGUAUUACUGAAAGCUUUCAGUAUGAUGAUAUGCUGAUUUAAUAAAAUAAGUAGGAAAUUACCCUUUUACUAGCUCUCCUCCUGCUUUUCUAUUCCUGUGGCUGUGGUUACACAACAUACAACUGAGAGUGAAGAUAUUUGUAUUUUUUGUGAGCCAGUGUAUACCUUUUGUUGACAAUAAGUUCCCUGUCCUAUUCCAUAUUGCAGUUUAACUGAAUAGUAAAGUUACAGCCUUGGCAGAAGCUGUAGAAAGGACUUUGAAAAAUCACAUGUAGGGUGUGAUCACAAAUAGAGUGUGAUAGGAAAAAUAGAUGUGUUCUAUCGCUAUACAUGUUAGUAUUUAUGUUGCAUAUAUUUUUAAAGCAAGUACUUAGCAGUGUAUGAUAAUUAAAAGAUUAAAAGAUGCAGACGUCCUUUGUAUACAGAGAAUCAGAAAAAAUUUUUUAGUUUUUUUAGGCUUAUUACAAUGAUAUUAAGGAGCUUCACAGUAUUUGAUGAUACUAAGGAGCUUCACAGUAUUUUAUGAAUUUUUGCAUAUUCCCUGAACAGAAAAGCACCAUUUUCCUGUUAGACCAAGAGAAAACUGAGCCACUUUUUUAGUCAGUAGUAAAAGUCAAUGAUAUUAAAUGGAUUCUCCUGUCCUU